AUUGAACGCUGGCGGCAGGCCUAACACAUGCAAGUCGAGCCUUAGCACAGAGAGCUUGCUCUCGGGUGACGAGCGGCGGACGGGUGAGUAAUGUCUGGGAAACUGCCUGAUGGAGGGGGAUAACUACUGGAAACGGUAGCUAAUACCGCAUAAUGUCGCAAGACCAAAGUGGGGGACCUUCGGGCCUCAUGCCAUCAGAUGUGCCCAGAUGGGAUUAGCUAGUACGUGGGGUAACGGCUCACCUAGGCGACGAUCCCUAGCUGGUCUGAGAGGAUGACCAGCCACACUGGAACUGAGACACGGUCCAGACUCCUACGGGAGGCAGCAGUGGGGAAUAUUGCACAAUGGGCGCAAGCCUGAUGCAGCCAUGCCGCGUGUGUGAAGAAGGCCUUCGGGUUGUAAAGCACUUUCAGCGGGGAGGAAGGCGAUAAGGUUAAUAACCUUGUCGAUUGACGUUACCCGCAGAAGAAGCACCGGCUAACUCCGUGCCAGCAGCCGCGGUAAUACGGAGGGUGCAAGCGUCAAUCGGAAUUACUGGGCGUAAAGCGCACGCAGGCGGUCUGUCAAGUCGGAUGUGAAAUCCCCGGGCUCAACCUGGGAACUGCAUUCGAAACUGGCAGGCUAGAGUCUUGUAGAGGGGGGCAGAAUUCCAGGUGUAGCGGUGAAAUGCGUAGAGAUCUGGAGGAAUACCGGUGGCGAAGGCGGCCCCCUGGACAAAGACUGACGCUCAGGUGCGAAAGCGUGGGGAGCAAACAGGAUUAGAUACCCUGGUAGUCCACGCCGUAAACGAUGUCGAUUUGGAGGUUGUGCCCUUGAGGCGUGGCUUCCGGAGCUAACGCGUUAAAUCGACCGCCUGGGGAGUACGGCCGCAAGGUUAAAACUCAAAUGAAUUGACGGGGGCCCGCACAAGCGGUGGAGCAUGUGGUUUAAUUCGAUGCAACGCGAAGAACCUUACCUGGUCUUGACAUCCACAAAACUUUCCAGAGAUGGAUUGGUGCCUUCGGGAACUGUGAGACAGGUGCUGCAUGGCUGUCGUCAGCUCGUGUUGUGAAAUGUUGGGUUAAGUCCCGCAACGAGCGCAACCCUUAUCCUUUGUUGCCAGCGGUCCGGCCGGGAACUCAAAGGAGACUGCCAGUGAUAAACUGGAGGAAGGUGGGGAUGACGUCAAGUCAUCAUGGCCCUUACGACCAGGGCUACACACGUGCUACAAUGGCAUAUACAAAGAGAAGCGACCUCGCGAGAGCAAGCGGACCUCAUAAAGUAUGUCGUAGUCCGGAUUGGAGUCUGCAACUCGACUCCAUGAAGUCGGAAUCGCUAGUAAUCGUAGAUCAGAAUGCUACGGUGAAUACGUUCCCGGGCCUUGUACACACCGCCCGUCACACCAUGGGAGUGGGUUGCAAAAGAAGUAGGUAGCUUAACCUUCGGGAGGGCGCUUACCACUUUG
rnacentral:rRNA from 1 species